GUAAUGUUACGGGUCUAGUCACUCUAGCCAUUAACUUCAUGG
rnacentral:sRNA from 1 species